rnacentral:misc_RNA from 1 species
CGUCGAAGGUGGGGCUGAUGACUGGGGUGAAGUCGUAACAAGGUAUCCGUACCGGAAGGUGCGGAUGGAUCACCUCCUAACAGGGAGACAACACAAUGAUUUUGAUGCCUGAGUACUUUUAUUCUUAGGCCGAAAUCCUGUCACCUUAGGUCGAUCGGUACCUCAGCUUUGAAGUCAAGGAUCAGCAGCAAUGUUGAUUGCUUGAUGGAGAUUUUUAGUUCCUAAACUUUGUCUAGGUCACACCCCAAAAGGGAUGAGACUCCUGGGCCAUUAGCUCAGGUGGUUAGAGCGCACCCCUGAUAAGGGUGAGGUCCCUGGUUCAAGUCCAGGAUGGCCCAUUCGGUGUUGGGGGUUUAGCUCAGUUGGUAGAGCGCCUGCUUUGCAAGCAGGAUGUCAGGAGUUCGAGUCUCCUAACCUCCACUGACCGAACUUGAUUCCCAUCUCCAAUUUUUUGGAGUUGAGCUCGAUUGGAGUGUGAUUUAGAUGUGUCCGCUGGAUGACCCCAGCUUCCUGUCAUUCCAAGUUUUAGAUUUUAAGUCUUAAAUUUGGUUGAUAAGAUGCUGGGCUCGGAUCAAAUAAUCAAGCAAUUGAUGAUUUGAUUUGAAGUUCUAGCAGAACCUUGACAACUGCAUAGGUGAAGUCUGGAAAAACAAAGCAUCUUACAGAUGCAUUGUUUUGAAUCUGAUCUUCUGAAAGGGAGAUUGGAUCUAGAACAAUGAAAAUUCUUUUGAGCAAGAGCCGAGACUCUUAAAUGUUCUUUGAUUCGUGUCGAGCGAAUCAGAGUUUGAUCUUGUUUUUAGCAAUAAAAACUUGAGAAUCUGCUUUCAACGGCGGUAAGCGUUUAAGAGGUUAAUUGGUCAAGCUACAAAGGGCUCA